rnacentral:tRNA from 1 species
UCUGUGGCUCAGUUGGUAGAGCAACUGAUUCGUAAUCAGUAGGUCGUCGGUUCAAGUCCGAUCAG